rnacentral:lncRNA from 1 species
CGAAAAACAGGGAAGCCAAAUGAGGGUCGUCAAGAAGAAGGGAAAGAAGCUUAACGCUCGUGUCCAACAGAUGUCGGUACUCCGCGUCUCUGUAAGUCACUUCCGUCAGCUCCAGUCUGUAACUCGCCGUGCUUGUGGCGGCGCAGCAGCGAGCCUGGGCCUCCCGCAGGCCCCUCCUGGAAACUUGAAGCGGCGCGAGAAGCCCCGCCAUUGCGAAUUUGAACUGCGAGAAGAGAGAAGGAAGAGCGUCGACCUCUGCCCACAAACUUGCAUAAAGUUGGAACGCCUUUCCCUGCGGCAAAGACGUGGCAGCGACGCGGCAACCAACAGAAAAUGCAUGUCAGGAAGAGUGCCUCGAAACGAGACAAACGCGGGAAAAGGGGAGAACGGAAGCAGGCGUUACGCGAAUACAUGGAUGCAUGUGUAUGCAUAUCUUUAUGUGUGUCUAGGUAUUAUUUGUGUGACUCGCACACGCGAAGACAUGCAAUGUUAUAUACGUUUAUGGAGUUCCGUAGUAGUAUUUGUGGACAGGAAUGUUUAAGGCAUUCAUUGUGGGUCGAGGUGACGAAAGCAGUCCCACAGGCGCCACGGAAAUAAGGGGGGGGGCUACGAAACGAAAUCGGCUGGUCGCUUUUUUCCUAGAUCUCAGUUAUCGGCAGUGUGUCCCAUUUCGGGUUACACUUUCCAGUCACAUGCGAAAACCUGCAGCUUGCAAGUCGCAGCUUUUUCGCCGGUGGUUCGCUUGACCUGGAGUUCUGGGGGUGUCCGUCUCAGGUCGGGGUGAACGAGUAAGGAGAAUUUCGGGGAGGGAGGGUGGCAGAACGGAAACUGCGACGGUACAAGAGCGAGGUCCUUCGCAGGUUGUAAGAGUGCAUGUGCGAGAGAACAGCCGGGGAUCUCGGCCGUGUGCUUCACGAUGGGCGUCCACGAGGUCGUUUCUUCUGUCAGUCGACUCAAACUUUGAACGUCGGUUUGCAUCAAACAGACACUCCUUUCCCCACCGGACCAGUCGCUCUCUGCCUUUCCGAGACUGUGUCCCGACCCCUCGAGCGGCGCGGUCGCGUCCUUUUCUCCGCAAAACCCUCCUGGUGGAUCGAAAUUCGUCUCUCUGCCACUAUUCCCUCCCGCUCGAACCGGACGGGCGCGCCCCGAGCACCGGAGAUAGACGAGGAACAAGUUCUGGGUAGGUUUGCGAGAUGCGGUGGUCUCUCGAUCUUGCGACUUGCGCAGGGGGAUUUCUAGAGCAACCAGAGACGCCACUUCGGAGGGAAUGAGACCGUUGUCGAUUUCAUUCACGAGAUGCUUCCGAAACCCAGCCACGGUGUCGCUGAGUAGGCGGCGGGCAUCAAAUUCGAGCGCAGCUGUGAGAUCGCCGGCGACGGGAGCUGAGGCGGCUCUGUCGCCCUCAAGAUCUGUCGAUCCGCCGGAGUUCCCUUUUCUGUACAGUUUCUUGGCUUCUUCGUGACUCGUCGCCCACACGGGACGCAGGUCACAAAUCAGCGCUACACUCUCGAGCUCGCGGCGCACGACUUCGAGUUUCUCUGCAGCUGCAGCUUCUUCGUCGGACUCUCCCGCGGAGCACGGCCGGGCGACGCUCCUCAGGACGCGCUCCCAGUCCCAGCGCUGCCCCACGAGAUACGUUCCGGUCGACGAAGUCACGCCGCCUGUGGCCCCUAGGGGAAGAGCUUGCUUGAAGGUCAGCAAAUCACAAGACAACACCGUCCACGGAGGCGACUCGUUCGACUCGCUACCCGCAGCAGACCCUCGACGCGCAAGCUUCCCGGAAGUCGACGAAGAAACUGCCAGGUCCACCAACGGCGGGUUCAAAAAGUGUCUGUGGGAAGCGAAGAAAAGUGUCGGACGCGAAAACGAAGAUCGAAACCGAGUGCGCAACACAUCAAAACAAAAACCAGCGGGUAGGUCCCGCGCGGAGAAGCAAAGGCGACGGCGACUGUCUUUGAAUCAGCGAAGGAAGAAAAGCCUGCGGGGGGGGAACACCACGUCCCUAGACAUCUCUAUCCGCGCGACGGAGAAUGUCUCGGGAGUGCCAUGGUUAUUCAAGGACGCACGCCCUGGCAGUCACCAACAACGGCGCUGCGGGUGUCUCUCCUACGCUGGCUAAGAGGGGGAAAUAUAGGGCUCUUUCCGUCUCAGCCUACCUCCGCGUCGGUGUCGCUGUGUUUGCUCGGGUCUUCUAUAGGGUAGCAGGUGAUCAGUGGGUGUCGAUGCACGUCUUUGUGUACAGCAUGAACGACCGUGAACUCUGAGGUUUGCCACCGAAAACUGGCGAACGAACUCUGUGGUGCCUGGCUACCUACCUGUACCGGAGUCUGGCUUCAAGUGUGCGACAAAGGCGCUGGAACCUUUCGCCUAGUUGAUUCCGAAAUCGGAAGCACAGGAGAAACAGUUCGACAUGGAUACUCUCCGGCAGCUCCAUGGCGGCUCUCUGGGCAGCUCUGACGGCUGCUAGGGUAGCGGCCAAGCUCGGCGAAGCGGAGAUUUCCCCCCUUUCUGCACUGGGC